AUGAUGCAUGUAGUAGAUUGGACUGCGAGAGGGCAAGAGCAGUGUUGGUAUGCCAACGACGAGAACAAGGAAGAGGAGGAGAUGUCACAAUUCCAGAAGUUGAGCCAAUCAAAUGGAGGUGAUGAUGUGGUGAAUGAGCUCUUCUCUUGGCAAUCCAUUCAUGGACGUGGGCCAUUAGGUUUAAACUUGACAAAAACACCCGCUCUUUUGGAGCUUAUACAAAAGAAGCUCACAUUAACCUCCAAAGGAAAAGGAAAGCAAACCACAUGUGAUGUACAAACAAUAUCUACUGCAAUACAAGGAAGGAAGCCCCCUUCAAAAAAGUUGCAAGCUUCCAAUUUUCAAGCUUCCUCUCUUAGAAUUGGGGUCUGGGAGUGGAAAUCCAUAUAUGAAGGGGAUAUUGUUGCAAAAUUUUAUAUUUCCAAGAAUAAAUUGGCGUGGGAAAUACUCCAUGAAGGCCUGAAGAGCAAGAUAGAGAUAAAAUGUUCAGACAUAUGUGCCUUGAGAAUUACUUGUCCCAAAGAUUUACCCGGGAUGCUGGACAUUAUGGUGUCCGCGGUGCCACAAUUUUUCGUAGAAACCAAUCCACAGCCACGCAGGAGCACCAGGUGGGUUGCAACUAUGGAUUUUACUGGUGGACAAGCAAGUACGCACAGUAGGCAUGUUCUGCAGUGUGGCCCAGGGAUAAUGGACAAGCACAUUGAGAAUCUCCUCUACAAAGACCAACGUCUAUAUUUAUUAAGUCAAAAGAACAAUAUCAAUCCAGAGAGUCCUUGUUUGCGAAAAGGUUGUGAAUUGUCUGUUACCCCAUUGAGGUCGAGCACCGAAAAUUCAUAUCAUAGCAAUUAUGACAACCUGUUUGAGACUGGACAAACUGGGCAGUCAUUGCCACUUCAACCGGUGGCAACUGGAACAAUGACAUUAGGGCUAAAUGAUUAUGGAGCCCUGCAAGGUGUACACUUUCAAAGCUCAGGGCGGCGAGCUCCACUGAAGGAGGACAUGUUUAACAGGAAAUGCUUUUUGGGCACGCCUCUGGGGUCGCAACCUACCUCCAUGUCCAACUCUAAUGCUGGUAUCAUGAAUAGUAACUCUGGAAACCACUUCGACAAUCAGAUCAAUUCAUGGAACUUAUCUCCCAGUGUUGAUUACUCAUCAUUGCGUGAGAUGUAUGACUUGAAUGGCAGCCAUACCUUGCUGCCGAGUAACAGCAACAUAUCAUCGGAGACAAUGGCACUUGAGCAGCUACGCGAAAACUUUUUGAGCGACAACGAGGUCGUGAAUGUGGUGGACGAAGAGGAUCUCAUGAGCAUGGUGAACCCCCCUGUCCUGCUUGAUUGGACAGAGUUCCCACUCCCAGGCAAGCAAUACUCUGGUUGCUCCUCCUCCUCUAGAUCAACCAACCCAAGUCAUCAACGUGCUUCCUACUGGAAGCAGCUCACCAUGAGAGCAAUCACUGGAGGCACAUAA
rnacentral:rRNA from 1 species